AAAGUGAAAUCUAGACAUGCAACAUGUGGCUCGUGCUUCGGCUCAAGACUAACAAUCUUCAGUUCCAAGGAGUAUUUGCUGAGUUCGUGCAAGAGAACCAUUGGCCCUCAUAUCACUCAAAUUAGAAAGUUUACAAAAAAAAAAAAAAAAAAAAAGAGGAACCCUUGUAACUGUCGCGCUGAGGAAACUCCAGUAUUUCCCAAUGCUAUAGCAGGCCCCAUCGAUUUCAUUCCCCCUGCACACUCAGUGGCAGGAAAUGGACCCCUGCCACUGGUUCACACUGUCAGCAGGGUGAGCCUUGCAGUUUGCCUACUGCUUUUGAACGUUUUUAAUCAGCGAAGUGGAAGGACCGUGCGACUAUGCCUAUCACACUCACAGGACAGUCGGUGGUACCUCCCCAGGCUCCAAACUCCCACGCGUCCCCCCCCCCCCCCACACACACACACUCCCAAAGAAAUGUUUCUUAAGAGAGCACAUGGAGAGAGGCGAGGCGGGGGAAACGCACGUGUGCAUUCUCCUACGGAGAUAAACUACCCGAGGACAGCAGAGAAGGGGAAUACUUGCUUCCAGACAGGGUAGACAAGGAGCCCCAAGGCAUCUCUGCUCAUUACAACAUAAGCUCCAUGAAGGAAGAGAUUUUGUGUUUUUUUGCUAUUUUAUCCCCAUUUCCUGGUACAGUGUUGAAUGAAUGGCUGAAUUGUGGACCAGCACAAUGUAUGGAAACACAGAAGAAUGGUUCAAAUACAGUCUGAAUGAUUAAUGAAGACUUGCUGGAGAUGAUCCCCAAAUCUGUUGUAAAGCAUGGGCAAGGAAAAGAAUUUUGGCAGUAUCCUACUAUAUACCAGUGGAGGAUUUAAGCCACAAGAGGGCCAUUUUCCUAACUUGAAACAUCACUUGUGCCCUAGAUUCUUGUUGUGAUACCUUCACUAGUUGGCCUUCUUAAGGACUAUGUGCCUAUGCAUACUAUCAAUCCCACAGCUGGGUUAUCUUUUUAUUCUGUCCUAAGCUAUUGUUUCCCCUCUUUCUCCAUUGACUCCAGGGGCUGAGAGGCUGACUUGGUUCUCCUUUAAGCCUGUUCCUAUUGUGAUAUUUUUCUCUUUUAGUUUAUCUCAUGUUCCCAAAAGCAUAUAGUUAAUAUGAUGUAUUAUAGAGGAAGUAUAAGUUCUUUAUAUGUUACUAUAUGCUGAAAUAUUCUACUCUUCCAUGUGGGAAAAACUAGAUGGAAUCAUUUUUAGCAAAAUUACAUUCAUUUUCCAUAUCAGGCAUUGUAAUACCUGAAUAAUAAUAUAAACAGCAGUAACAAUCAGAAUAGCAUCAGUUCAUAUAUUUACACGACAUCCUACAUAUUUCUAAGGCUCGUACGUGUAAUAACUGACUUAAAUUUCACAGAAACUGUUUGAAGUAGACAAUAUGACAAUUAAUACCAUUUUAUUGAUGAGAAAAACAGAUAAGAACAUGUGUUGUGACUUCCCUAUUUCAAAACAUGUCUUAAACAUUGGUUUUAUGAUUUGAAGUCUUGAGAUAUAGUAGAAAUUAGGUGUAAAAAAAAAACUCAGGUGACAACUUGCUUCUAAAAGAAAAACAGUACACACAUUGUGUUAUUUCUCUACACAGAGGGAGAGGGAUAGAGGGCAUAGGAAAAUUGUGCCAAAACAUAAAAAAUGGGGUUUUUUUGGUCAUUAUUGCUCGCUAUGAUAAGGACAGUUGCAUAGACUGCAUUUAGUUUAAAAUUAUAUAAGUGAAAAUGGAUGGAGUUCAUAUAAUUCCAGUUAAACACGAAUUCGAGAAAAUGCUGUAAUAAAUGAUACUUUUUCAAUUAAGAUAUUAUCUUU
ensembl:lncRNA